GUUGUGGGGAAUGUUGUCUGGCUCGAGGUACAUCUGGGGUUAUCUUGAGUCACAUUCCAGAUGAUCUCGGACCAGGCUUCAUUCCCCUCAAC
rnacentral:pre_miRNA from 1 species